CCAGAGCGCCAUCCAAGCCCCAUUAUCCGGCUUCAGCGCUCCGUGCGUCCGGCCCAGGUAACAACUUCCCCAAAAACCGAAAGAGAAAAGCGCGAGGCGCACGCACACCGGCCCAUCCUGGCGCAGAGACCGCGUCUGCCCCGGGAGGGGGAUCUGUCUGUGGUGCUUCCCGGUCUCUAAGCCCAGGGACGCCUGGUUCCCCCCCAAACGAACCGGGAUGGGAAGUGACUUCAAUGAGAUUGAACUUCAGCUGGACUGAAAGAGAGGCUAGAAGUUCCGCUUGCCAGCAGCCUCGUUAGUAGAGCGGAAUGAGUAAUACCCACACGGUGCUUGUCUCACUUCCCCAUCCGCACCCGGCCCUCACCUGCUGUCACCUCGACCUCCCCCACCCUGUCCGCGUUCCCCGCCCUCCUCCUCGCGUAGACCCGUGGGAUCCUAGGCGGCAGGGCUCAGAGCUAAGGUAUCUACAGGCCAUGCAUUCCUUCCUAAAUGAGCGGUCAUCGCCGUGCAGGACCUUAAGGCAAGAAGCAUCAGCUGACAGAUGUGAUCUCUGAACCUGAUAGAUUGCUAAUUUUAUCUUAUUUUGUCCUUGACUUGGUACAAGUUUGGGGAUUUCUGAAAAGACCAUACAGAUAACCACAAAUAUCAAGAAAGUCGUCUUCAGUAUUAAGUAGAAUUUAGAUUUAGAUUUCCUUCCUGCUUCCCACCUCCUUCGAAUAAGGACACGUCUUUGGGACCAACUUUAUGGAAUAAAUAAGCUGAGCUGUAUUUCAAGUAAUAUAGUUAUGAAUUAACAAUGUAGGAGUUAUUGAUAGAGAAAUUGAGAAAACUGAAACGUGACCGGAGUAUUGGAAAUAAUGUAGUACAUCACCUGGCACAAUGACACAUAGUAGGUGCUCAAUAAAUUUAUGCUUAUAAUUUUUGUCACUUCUAUGGCAGGAUUUUUUUAUUAGGUUAAAAUUAUCUUUUAAACACCUUCCGGAAUUUUAGAAUAUUAAUUAAUAAUGUCUUCAAACCUUUCAACUGAAAUAAAUUUACAGCUGAAGUCUGGUGAUUUAAAGUUAGAAGGUUUAAUCUUGAAUAUAGAUGAACAUUUUCUCUCCCACAUUUUCUUGGGCAUUUUGAGAAGUAAAUGCAUUAUUUAUUGGUCCAUGAAAUGUGACUGUAAAUAUUCUUUGCUAUACAUUAUGUCUAUAUAUCUGCAUUCAUCCCCAAUGCCAAAACUAGAAUCAUUAGUCUUAAUGAUCAUUUUAAGUACAGGCAGUCCUCGCUUUCCUCGAUACCAUGUUAACCGAAACUUGUGCAUGUCAACACGGUGUCCUUGCUUUGCUUGGUUAAGUGUGAGCUCUUCCUCCCUUUUUUUAAGAGUUGUACAAUGUUUUUCAGUCGCCUACCGAAUCAGGUCAUAGACUAUGGAAUUGCCCCCACUCCACCAACAUUUUUACAGCUACCCUAAUUUCUGACCAGAAAGGAAAAAAAAACUUUCCAGCUCUAUCACACAUUUUACCUACUCUUAAACUUACGAAGUAUUACAAAUAGCAUUUUCUCAUGUUCUCCUUCUGACCUGUACCUCCCCCCUAAGCUUCCUUCAGUGUUCAUCCUCACCUCAUAAAGAGAUGAAGUGAAGAGACAAACAGAAGUCAUUUUCUUCCUUCCUUUAGUGGUUUCUGCUUUAGUUAGUUUGGGCCAAACUGUGUGGACAAGUACCUUUUCAGGUAACUUUUUUUUCUUAUUUCUAUGUCCUCAACACCUAGUGGAGUACGUAGCCGAUAGUAGAUGCUUAAUAAACAUUUCUUAAAUUAAUAUCGUUGACCUUUUCUGACCCUGUUCUUGACGGUAAGAUACAUAAUCUGCCUUCAUCCCUUUAGUCCUUAGGAACAGAUAAAGUCAUGGAUGUGAAAGUGAUUACUGUCAUUAAUAUCCAGAUUAAAAUUGCUCUGAAUUUUAGUUUCUCCAUAAUCAUUUUCCCUAAACAAUGAACUCUGUUCACCUUUUUUUAAAAAAAUAUGCACAGUGAAUAUUACUGGUAGCCUAAAUCUUCUAACAUAAAAUUUCCAUUUUGUAAAAGCUUCUGAUAAGCAUAUAUGUUAUGAAUUGAAUGUUUGAUUAUUAUACUUUAAUGUUCUUGAAAAUAUUGUUAUCUGGACUGGAAAGAAAACAGACAAAAUAAAUCUCAGAAUAAAUUACUGCUUUAAACAUGA